UACGUAGGUGGCAAGCGUUGUCCGGAAUUAUUGGGCGUAAAGCGCGCGCAGGCGGCCUCUUAGGUCUGAUGUGAAAGCCCCCGGCUCAACCGGGGAGGGCCAUUGGAAACUGGGAGGCUUGAGUAUAGGAGAGAAGAGUGGAAUUCCACGUGUAGCGGUGAAAUGCGUAGAGAUGUGGAGGAACACCAGUGGCGAAGGCGACUCUUUGGCCUAUAACUGACGCUGAGGCGCGAAAGCGUGGGGAGCAAACAGG
rnacentral:rRNA from 1 species